AGGACGAACGCUGGCGGCGUGCUUAACACAUGCAAGUCGAACGGUAAGGCCUUUCGGGGUACACGAGUGGCGAACGGGUGAGUAACACGUGGGUGAUCUGCCCUGCACUUUGGGAUAAGCCUGGGAAACUGGGUCUAAUACCGAAUAUGACCAUGGGAUGCAUGUUUCGUGGUGGAAAGCUUUUGCGGUGUGGGAUGGGCCCGCGGCCUAUCAGCUUGUUGGUGGGGUGAUGGCCUACCAAGGCGACGACGGGUAGCCGGCCUGAGAGGGUGUCCGGCCACACUGGGACUGAGAUACGGCCCAGACUCCUACGGGAGGCAGCAGUGGGGAAUAUUGCACAAUGGGCGCAAGCCUGAUGCAGCGACGCCGCGUGAGGGACGACGGCCUUCGGGUUGUAAACCUCUUCAGCAGGACGAAGGGUGACUGACGGUACCUGCAGAAGAAGGACCGGCCAACUACGUGCCAGCAGCCGCGGUAA
rnacentral:rRNA from 1 species